UACGGAGGGUGCGAGCGUUGUCCGGAAUCACUGGGCGUAAAGGGCGCGUAGGCGGCGCGGGGAGUCAACGGUGAAAGCUCGGCGCUCAACGCCGAGUCGGCCGUCGAUACUCCCGUGCUCGAGCACUGUAGAGGCAGGUGGAAUUCCGGGUGUAGCGGUGGAAUGCGUAGAGAUCCGGAAGAACACCGGUGGCGAAGGCGGCCUGCUGGGCAGUAGCUGACGCUGAGGCGCGACAGCGUGGGGAGCAAGCAGG
rnacentral:rRNA from 1 species